rnacentral:rRNA from 1 species
UACAGAGACUGCAAGCGUUAUUCGGAUUCACUGGGCGUAAAGGGUGCGUAGGCGGUCGGGUAAGUCUGAUGUGAAAUCUCACAGCUUAACUGUGAAACUGCAUUGGAUACUAUCCGGCUCGAGGAAUGGAGGGGAGACUGGAAUACUUGGUGUAGCAGUGAAAUGCGUAGAUAUCAAGUGGAACACCAGUGGCGAAGGCGAGUCUCUGAACAUUUCCUGACGCUGAGGCACGAAAGCCAGGGGAGCAAACGGG